UACGUAGGGGGCAAGCGUUGUCCGGAAUCAUUGGGCGUAAAGAGCGUGUAGGCGGCUCGAUAAGUCUGCUGUGAAAGUCCAGGGCUCAACCCUGGAAGGCCGGUGGAAACUGUCGGGCUAGAGUCCGGAAGAGGCGAGUGGAAUUCCUGGUGUAGCGGUGAAAUGCGCAGAUAUCAGGAAGAACACCCGUGGCGAAGGCGGCUCUCUGGGACGGUACUGACGCUGAGACGCGAAAGCGUGGGGAGCAAACAGG
rnacentral:rRNA from 1 species